GUUUCAGGACGAACGUCAUUGACGUACGUGUGGCCGAGUGGGGGACGUUUAAGGACGAACGUCAUUGACGUACGCGAUAUUGAGAUUGGGACGCUUCCGCACGAACGUCAUUGACGUACGCGAGAUUGAGCUUGGGACGCUUCCGGACGAACGUCAUUGACGUACGCGAGGCUAAGUUUGGGACGUUUCAGGACGAACAUCAUUGACGUACGCGAGGCUGGACGUGCGCAAGACGUGGAUGACGCGAUUGUUUUCGGAACCGAACGAGACGUGGAUGGCGCGAUUUUUGCGGAAGACGUGGAGAAUGGGUCCGACACGCGGUUUUCUUGGAGGCGCCGAAAUGGCUUGUCUCCGAGUUUGGGAAUUUAGGGUUUUCGGUUCUCAAUCUCGAUUCUGAUCCUUGGGGUUUCGAUUCCUAUGCGAAGAGUUCGCCAUUUUGAAUGCGUGAAGGUGGCGAGGGCAGCGACGCAGUGAUUUGAAAAAGUGGCGGCGCCGUUGAGCUUUGGGUUUAGGGUUCCUGCUGUUCUCCGAUUUUGGGCGGCGAUGAUGAAGGCGGCAGCCCUCUCCGACGAAGAUUUCCCACGUUUACCGACAAAGGAGACGGUGAAGCCAGAUACAGUUCCGAUGCGUCACAGUCCCUGCACCAGUCUUCAACCCGUUCUUGAAUAAUUGGAUUGGGACAUUGUUGUUUCCUCCAAAUGGAAGGGAAAACUGGGGUGACGGCGUCGAGAUUAAAAGAGGCAGUGAAAGAAGUUUUCUCUCCCGCAAAGGGUGUGAUUUAGCGGAGGUGCUCAAUGGCGCGAUUUCGCAGAGGUGCUCGCGGUGGCGUCAAUGGCUCGCGGAGGAGAUUCCUGGCAGUGAUGCGGCAGUAGCUUUAUCUGAAGAAGGGAUUCGUCAAGGCCGAGGCUCCUCUUGUGGCUUCUUUGGGUUGGCACUCGGCUCCACGGUGGGCGUCAAAAUGUUUCGGUGUAGAUAUUUUCCGGUGUGUCUUUGUUGCUCCUAGCUGUCUGGGACGCUUGCUCUUUUCCAAUUAUUGUUGUUCCUACUCGCCAAAGGAGGGGAGGUACCUGCAAAUACUCCGACGCUCAAGUCAGAUGUGAGUUAUGGAGCUUCAGCUCUCAAGAGAGUAAUUGGAUACUGCUCUGAAAUAAUAUUUAAGGUCUCUAGAGCAUAAAGAGAACGUACCUGGACCUUGGCC
rnacentral:sRNA from 1 species